rnacentral:rRNA from 1 species
CAGUCGCCGCGGUAAUACGAAGGGUGCAAGCGUUACUCGGAAUUACUGGGCGUAAAGCGUGCGUAGGUGGUGGUUUAAGUCCGUUGUGAAAGCCCUGGGCUCAACCUGGGAUUUGCAGUGGAUACUGGGUCACUAGAGUGUGGUAGAGGAUAGUGGAACUUCCGGUGUAGCAGUGAAAUGCGUAGAGAUCGGAAGGAACAUCUGUGGCGAAGGCGACUAUCUGGGCCAACACUGACACUGAGGCGCGAAAGCGUGGGGAGCAAACAGGAUUAGAUACCCCUGUAGUCCCUGUCUCUUAUAC